rfam:Poecilia formosa, whole genome shotgun sequence.
AAAGUAGCCUACGCAACAGCCAUGGACUGGUUCAUUGCUGUCUGCUACGCUUUC